UGCAGUUGAACGGNUGCUCAUGGAAGCUUGCUGAAGUGAGCGAUAGUAGCGGACGGGUGAGUAAUGCAUGAGUACCUGCCCGCGGGAGGGGGACAACAGUUGGAAACGGCUGCUAAUACCCCGUACGCCGAGAGGUGAAAGGGAGCGAUUCCGCCCGCGGAGGGGUUCAUGUCCUAUCCGCUGGUUGGUGAGGUAACGGCUCACCAAGGCGACUACGGGUACCCGGCCUGACAGGGUGAACGGCCACACUGGAACUGAAACACGGUCCGGACUCCUACGGAAGGCAGCAGUGGGGAAUAUUGGGCAAUGGGGGCAACCCUGACCCAGCCACGCCGCGGGAGGGAAGAAGGGCUUCGGUUCAUAAACCUCUUUUUAACGGAAAAAAGCAGAUGACGGUACCGUUCGAAUAACUCCCGGCUAACUACGUGCCAGCAGCCGCGGUAA
rnacentral:rRNA from 1 species